GUUAGGAAUUUUGGGCAAUGGCCGCAAGGCUGACCCAGCAACGCCGCGUGGGGGACGAAGGCUCUCGGGUUGUAAACCCCUUUUGGCGGGGACGAUGAUGACGGUACCCGCCGAAGAAGCCCCGGCUAACUACGUGCCAGCAGCCGCGGUAAUACGUAGGGGGCGAGCGUUGUCCGGAUUCAUUGGGCGUAAAGCGCGGGCAGGCGGCCCGCUCAGUCGGCCGUGAAAGCGCCGGGCUCAACUCGGCGAGGUCGGGCGAUACUGGCGGGCUGGAGGCUGGUAGAGGGCGGUGGAAUUCCGGGUGUAGUGGUGGAAUGCGUAGAGCUCCGGAGGAACACCAGUGGCGAAGGCGGCCGCCUGGGCCAGUCCUGACGCUGAGCCGCGAAAGCGUGGGGAGCGAUCCGGAUUAGAAACCCUAGUAGUCC
rnacentral:rRNA from 1 species